rnacentral:rRNA from 1 species
UCGCAAAUUACCCACUCUCAGCACGAGGAGGUAGUGACGAAAAAUAACGAGACCGUUCUCUUAUGAGGCCGGUCAUCGGAAUGGGUACAAUUUAAACCCUUUAACGAGUAUCUAUGAGAGGGCAAGUCUGGUGCCAGCAGCCGCGGUAAUUCCAGCUCUCAAAGUGCAUAGAAUUAUUGCUGCGGUUAAAAAGCUCGUAGUUGGAUCUGUGCCAUAGGACGUGGUCCACCUUCGGGUGCGUACUACGCUCCUAGGCUUUUUGCUGGUUUUCCCGUCGUAGCCUUCACUGGUUGCGGCGGGUGGCUGGCGAGUUUACUUUGAGAAAAUCAGAGUGCUCAAUACAGGCGUAUCGCUUGAAUGAUUGUGCAUGGAAUAAUAGAAAAGGAUUUCGGUCCUCUUUUAUUGGUUUUGUGGACUGAGAUAAUGGUUAACAGGGACAAACGGGGGCAUUCGUAUCUCUGCGUGAGAGGUGAAAUUCUUGGACCGUAGAGAGACGCCCUACUGCGAAAGCAUUUGCCAAGAAUGUCUUCAUUAAUCAAGAACGAAAGUCAGAGGUUCGAAGGCGAUCAGAUACCGCCCUAGUUCUGACCGUAAACGAUGCCAACUAGCGAUCCGCCGGUGGAUUUUUAGCCCUGGUGGGUAGCUUCCCGGAAACGAAAGUCUUCCGGUUCCGGGGGAAGUAUGGUUGCAAAGCUGAAACUUAAAGGAAUUGACGGAAGGGCACCACCAGGAGUGGAGCCUGCGGCUUAAUUUGACUA